GUAGAAGGCCUAUUUCGCCCGGGCUUUUAAACUUCUGUAAAAACCAAAAUAAAAAUAACAGUCCAAUAUAGAUUUUGAAGCCCAAGUUUUAAUGCCGGCCCAAAAUAUAGCUUUGGCCAAAAUUAAACAGGCUCAAUACAUUGACCCAAAAUUCCAGGCCUGAUUGUUAGCCCAAUUACAUUAAACAGUCAGCUAACCUAGGAAUCCCUAGGUUACCCACGCCGCAACCCCCACGUUUAGUGCCUCUCCACCACACAGUCGGCAUAUCAAGCACGACCCUUAGCUCGUUCGUUGCUCGCCCACGUCCUUUCACGUCUCCACGACCUGCGAUUUGAGCAAGAAAACAAUAGGAAAACUACUUAUAUUCGGCUAUAAAGCCUCCAAAUUUUUCAUUGUAAAGGGCUGGUAUUUUGGACCUUUUUUUUUUAGAAAAAUUGAAGAUAGAGAUAAUAUCAAACACAUACAGAAAGAUAUAGCAACCAUAUUUGUUUGAGGUGAUUUAAAAUUUCAUUUUCUUUCAAUUUUAUUUCCAUUUUCUUUGAUUUUUUUAUCUACUGUAUAUAAGUAAUAAGAGAAAGGGGAGGCAGCUCACCGGAGUUACCGUAGGAGAACCUUCGCUAGUUGCGAAUGGAGAGCUUGGGCAUUAGCCUUUCGGCUGAAGAGUAAAGGGAGAGUGAGGGAGAUGGAAAGCAUAAAGCAUUUAGGUUUUUUUAAACAAAAAAUAAAAG
rnacentral:lncRNA from 1 species